GUCCUGCUUCCUCUGUCUGUGCCCGGCAACAGGAGGUCCUCUUUCUGGAGCACUUCGGGAAGUAACUCUUCCCCCCUGCGCGGGAGAAGCAGAGGGCGGUGGUGUAUUGUGCAAAGCUAAAAGGCGGCUCCGCAGUCACUGGACGAUUGUGCGGUGAAAUAGGGGAUUAUAUCUUCACCCCCUAUGUAUAUAAUAUGUAUGUAUGUGUGUCGAUCGCACUGUGGGCUUGAAGCCGGGGUCACAGGGCCAAAACACAGCGCGGGGGACAGACACACACGGCUGUUUAGUCUCGUGCAUUCCGCCCCCCGGUCAGACCGCACGAGAUAUGACAGCUGGCACUAAGCAGCAUUCCCCAACGGGGGGUAGCGCUACAGCUAAACGGGCUCUAGGUCCGCUGGUCACCUAACAAAGACGAAGUCGCACCCUGGGAGUUCUUCCUACGGACACAAAGUACAGGAAAACCUCAAAGAGCACGCGUUCAGGACCAGGGCGACUGGGAGCCCGACGAGUCAUCCUGGGCUGGUGCGGUCACCAAGCUCCAAAAAGCCUCAAAGAAAGAGCGCAAAGAGCCCACACCACACCACAAAAUGCCAAACAGCCUCCCGAGACCACUUCCAACCCCCUCCCUCCCUCCCUGGGCUAGCCCAGGGAAGGUAUCAACCGCAGAGGGGGUAUCACCGCACGUGUCCAUGGCCCCCCUACAUAGCAUUGAGGCCAACUCGAAACGUGCACGAACAGGGAGAUCCUGCCACGACACCCGGCGACCAGGCCUCCGGGAAAAACCGCAGUAGGGUUGUUGCUGCAGCUGCAGCAGCUGCUGUCCCCACCCCCGUGUUGGGCCCCUGCAUUUGAUCCUCGAGUGCCGGCAUGUUCAGUGUCGGUCCCUCGUGUGGUCCGGCUCCGUUGGCCAGCAGUGGUGCUGGCCCCAGGGCUCCAUCCCCCCAAGUGUGCAGGGGUGUGGGCCCCCUGUCCACGGUGGAGUUCACCACAGAGGGUGUUGUUGAAUCUGGUGCUGUUGCUGGUCCCCUCUACGGUGGUGCUGCAGCUCUCCCCGCAGUUGUGGGCAGGGGGGAGGGUAAGCCCAUGGUGGUGGGGGUCUCCACAUCACCCCUCAGCUCAGCAGCACCGAGUAUGGGUUGGGGUAAUUCCAGGGGUCAUUCCAUCCCUAGCUUUGCUGUCCAAAUGCAACUCCGUGCCAUCUGUUCCUCCUCUGAGCCGUGUUGUAUGUGUUCCUUGGGCUGGUCAGUUUGUGGCUAUCAGGGGCUACAGCCAAGGCCGUUGUGGGCUCCUCCUGGGGCCCCGCUAGCAUUGCUGCGUCUGGUGGGGCUGUGCUGAAGGUGCAUCAUCUACAACCAGCUCAAUUUCCAUCUCCUCGUCCGCCAGGUCCGAUUCCGCCUGGGUCUGCUCCGCCUCCACUUCCAUGUGUGUUUUCUCCAGCCCCGGGGCUGAGUGUGUGGGUGCAGCUGGGGUUAUAUUGGCAGCCAGGGCGUUGGGUUGGCUGCACGGUAUGGUGUUGCCGCCCGUGUUUCCUGUGAGGCCUUCUGAGGGGCUGUGGGUGGGUUGGGUAGGGGUGUCGGUUUACCCCUUUUUCCCAGUGGCAGCAUCCAGCUUGCAUCCCGGGUUUGCUGUCACUGCUGUCACUGGAGGAGGGGCUUUGAUUCUGCUGGGACCGGGCUGCCCGCCUGGGCCGCCUGGCAUUGCUGCCCCAAUCCCUGCGGGCUACUACUGCCCUGAGUAAUGCCGUUUUGGUUGUCGGUGGUUCGGACCACGAUGCUGCUUUCAGGUGUUUAGCGGUGUUAGCGCUGCAAUUCACUCCCCUGCUGCUGCCAUGCUCCCUUGGGUCCCACGGUGGCAGAGGAGGCGGUGGUGGGGGGAGCGUGGGUGGCGGCGGUGGGGUUGGGAAGUCCAUCUCCGCUGCAUCUGGUGUAGGGAUCUCGGUUGCUGCUGCAGCCUGCAUCCCUGAUAUUUGCGGCUCCACCGGCAGUCCCAGGUAUCCAGGAUGGAUCGCAGGGUGUAUCGGGCCGCUGAAUGCUGUCAGGGGCGGCAUUGGCGGUGGCCCUGUCAUGUUGUGACUUGCCAUAACGGGGGCGUUUCCCCCCAAGUGGGUCGGGGUGGAUGCCGCUGUGGUGGUGAGCCCUCUCCGGGUUCUUGCGAUGUCGGUCCAUGUGCCUUUUAGUACCGCGCCAGCAUUGCUUCGGCCAGGGCCUGCCCCGGUGAUCUGCGCCGAUUCUAGCUGAGUCCCCUUGUGUUCUGGCGGUAGGCAUCCGAUUACAGCGGGGGCUGUCUCCAUCGCCAAGGGCAGCUUGGUCGCGACCAGGGUCCCAGUCCGCUGAUUUCGCACAUAAAUCCAACUUAGAAUUAAGGUGUUCUGCUACUCGUCCAUAGCUCUGAGCGUAGAUAUCCGAAACGUCGGCCAAAGUGGGACCGUGUCGCUGGACCGAGCACGAAUAGCCUCUCCUUCUGUAACGGCAGGACGCUAAUCUCGAGAGGAGUAAUUUAUUCUGGUUUAACAUUCUUCUUGGAAUUUUGCGGCCUUGUGGCUGCGGCUGUCCUCCAACCAAUUUGAGUCGUCAGUCGGUCAGCGGUCCUCACCGCUCUAGCUUGCGACAUUUGUCAUGUUGAACUUAAUAUGACAUUUCAACGUUGUUAUUAAAAUAGCCACAUUGAUUUCGGGCCGUGGUAGCCGUAGUGGUCAGGGCUCUAGUCGCAGUUGGUGCGGCAAGGUUACGGCCAUUUUCAUACUACAUCUGGAUAUUUGCAUGUAUCUGGCGACAUGGAUGUCCUUAACUUGGGCCAAGGAUAACUUACUUGAGGUCUACCUGUUAUCUGUUAUGUCGGACUUGGGGUCGUGGUAACUACUUGCGAACUGCAUUGUUGGACCUUGUUAAACACAUUAGCAGUGAAGUGGGCACAUGAUGGCAGUAUUGGUCGAGCGAGUUAUAUAAAUUGAUGCAAAUGCUUUUGUAGCAUACGUCGUUGUAAAUCCUUGCACUUCGACACCUACAUUGCCCCUGCAGCCCUUGGAUUCAGCUAUGCACAACCUGCACAGUCUACCUUGACUUGUAUUGCAACCU
rnacentral:lncRNA from 1 species